CAGCAAAUCCUCUCUCCCUCAACGGAAGAUGGAACGACUUAUUCUUGCUUUUCCAGGAUCCCCUUCCCUAGGGAACAGGCACAGGACCCGGACUCUCCACUCAGCCUCACUUGCCCAAAUUUGGAAUUGUGAAACCAUGACAAGAAGAAGAAUAACGAAGAAUUAAUUCAGUGUUUGUGGUACUGGAGAGUUCAUGGUGCUCUGUAAAUAAACUAUUCGUAUCCUAUAUAAAGGUGCCUUUUCUAUUCAGACAGAGUCACCAAAAUAUGUUCCAGAAGAAGGGAGGGAUCCUAGACCACAGCCGUGGCCUGCUGGUUCUACGCUUCAGAUCUUGGCCAAAUAGAUAUUGUAAGCCAGAGAUGUGUUCCCAGAAACUUUUUUCUAGUUAUCAUCAAUUCACAGGAUUGUUUUGAACUCUCAGGGAAGGGAGAUGAACAGAGGAGAGGCUGUCCGUGAAUUGUUGGAAGUGUUUCACUCUGUAGCCGGCAUAUAAGGUAGUGAAGUUACAUACAUAUGUUACAAACAGAGGGUAGUAGACGGACACUUUUGUCAGCAUUUAGUUUUCCCAAUUAGUGAUAUCAAAUUUGGUGUGUUGGUAUGGAUUAUUACAUAUUUUCCU
rnacentral:lncRNA from 1 species